rnacentral:lncRNA from 1 species
GUCCCACAUAGGGAGCGGGUGCUGGGUGCACAGGCAGCUCUCCAUGUGGCUCCCCCCAUGCCCACUCCCCGUGUGGCACCCUGCAGUUGCACACCAUGCCCACCCCCUGUGUGUGGGGAUCGCCCGCUGGUUGUGGCCAUGGGCUGUUGGGCUUGCGGGGGGCAUGGUGCAGAAAGCUGGCCGCAGCAUGCCACGCCCCCCAUGCAGCUGUAUGCAAUGCCCCCUGCACAGGGAGUGCCCACUGGCAGAGCCACGGGGUGCGAAGGGCACGGGUGGUGUGGUAUGUGGGCAUGUGAGGAGCCAGCAGGGGGGUGCGUGGGCCACCCUGUGGCCGUACCCCCCCAUGGGGAGUAGCUGCCAGCUGUGGCUGCAUGCCACCCCCCCCAUGUGCCCUGUGCCACACCCUGAGGCUGCUCCCCAUGCCAUAUGGCCACAACCAGCAGGCACUCCCUGUACCAUGGCCACUCCACAUGCAACGCCAUGUGGCCACAGGUCAGCCCCUCCACUCACCCAUGUGGCAGGCCCCCCAUGCACCAUGCCACCCACCCCAAGUGCCAUGCUCCCCCACAUGUCCUACACCACACCCCAGGGCUGUUCCCCAUGCCAUACCCUACGGCCGCAUACCAUCCCCCUCACACCCCACCUGUGCACCCCAGGCCACACCCUGGGGCUACUCCCCACACCACAUAGGUGCAGCCUGCAGGCACUUCCUCCACCAUGGCUACUUCCCAUGCCAUGCCCCAUGGCCAUGCACCAAGGCCCCCACGCGCACCCCAUGCCACACCCCGGGGCCACUGCCCAUGCCAUGUGGCUGCCACUGGCAAGUAUUCCCUGUGCCCCUGUGUUGCGGCCACUUCCCGUGCCAUGCCCCUGGUUGUGUGCCACACCCCCCAGUGCAGCCAAUGCAUCACGCCCCCCACACCUCAGAACUUCCCCCCACACCAUGUUGCUGCAGCCGCCAUGUGCUCUCCCUGCUGUGGCCACUCCCCAGGCCGUGGCACUUGCCACCCCCCCCCACGUACCGGGCACCACACCCCAGGGCUGUUCCCCACACCAUGCAAACAGCAAGUGCUCCCCGCGCCAUGCCUUACAGCCACCCCCACCCCCCAUGCACCCUCGCACCAUGUCCCCUGCUUGCAGAGUGGCAGGGAGGAGGGUUGGAGCGGAGCUGGACCCAGAGUGGCAGGAGGAGUGGGACAUGACCAAGAGUGGUGGCAGCAAUGAGGGGGGAGGAAGGGAGGACCUGGA